GGUGGAUGUUUGUCAUUGUGCCUGUGGGUUUAGCACUCCUAAUAGCUGUUGUGGUCAUCAUCAUAUACAAAAGAGGGAAACCAGCAAAAAUGGAUACAAACACUGUGUGUAAUAAUGAAAACGAUGGAGCAGUAAACUGUGAAAAUGUCUGCUCUUCUGAUGGAGUUUGACUGACCGUGCUGCUUCUGUCAGACCCACUGACCAAAAACAUCAAUGUCAACAUCAACUCUUGUUUUAUAGUUGGACAACCAUGUUAAGGUUCAUUUUAUCUCUUAGUUAGAACACCUCUGUGCAAAUUAUUUUUUGUUCAGUUGUUAAAACCUAUGUGUUCUUGUUAUGGACAAUUUUAGUUGACUCCAAUGUUGAGGAGGUCUGAAAGGGAUGAUAGUGCUUUUUUUGGAGCACCUGACCAUCUCCUCUUCAGCAGUUUCUUUUUUGCCUCUGUAGAGCUUUCAUUGACACCGUGAUUUCUGCAUUCAUGGACAAAGAUAAACUUCAGAAUGGGACUGGUAACACUGGCUAUAACUCAUGCUAGUUUGUCUUUAUAUCAACUAUAUCAGUAAUAAAUGUAUCUGUUUUAUGCUUUACAUCUGUUCCUUUGCAUCUCGUAUUUGUUGAUGAGCUUA